AAGAAAGUGACAGAAAGGUUAUGUGUCUGGCUUGAAACCAGGAUAAGGGGGUUCGAUUCCCUCCUUUCUCG
rnacentral:tRNA from 1 species